AGCGGAUGACAGGAGCUUGCUCCUGAAUUCAGCGGCGGACGGGUGAGUAAUGCCUAGGAAUCUGCCUGGUAGUGGGGGACAACGUUUCGAAAGGAACGCUAAUACCGCAUACGUCCUACGGGAGAAAGUGGGGGAUCUUCGGACCUCACGCUAUCAGAUGAGCCUAGGUCGGAUUAGCUAGUUGGUGAGGUAAUGGCUCACCAAGGCGACGAUCCGUAACUGGUCUGAGAGGAUGAUCAGUCACACUGGAACUGAGACACGGUCCAGACUCCUACGGGAGGCAGCAGUGGGGAAUAUUGGACAAUGGGCGAAAGCCUGAUCCAGCCAUGCCGCGUGUGUGAAGAAGGUCUUCGGAUUGUAAAGCACUUUAAGUUGGGAGGAAGGGUUGUAGAUUAAUACUCUGCAAUUUUGACGUUACCGACAGAAUAAGCACCGGCUAACUCUGUGCCAGCAGCCGCGGUAAUACAGAGGGUGCAAGCGUUAAUCGGAAUUACUGGGCGUAAAGCGCGCGUAGGUGGUUUGUUAAGUUGGAUGUGAAAUCCCCGGGCUCAACCUGGGAACUGCAUCCAAAACUGGCAAGCUAGAGUAGGGCAGAGGGUGGUGGAAUUUCCUGUGUAGCGGUGAAAUGCGUAGAUAUAGGAAGGAACACCAGUGGCGAAGGCGACCACCUGGGCUCAUACUGACACUGAGGUGCGAAAGCGUGGGGAGCAAACAGGAUUAGAUACCCUGGUAGUCCACGCCGUAAACGAUGUCAACUAGCCGUUGGGAGUCUUGAACUCUUAGUGGCGCAGCUAACGCAUUAAGUUGACCGCCUGGGGAGUACGGCCGCAAGGGUUAAAACUCAAAUGAAUUGACGGGGGCCCGC
rnacentral:rRNA from 1 species